GUAAUUUAAAAAGUUUACUAUAUAAUAAACUUUUCAGACUCUCACUGGUAAAGAACAGUCGAUAGAUGUGGAGCCCGCAGACACGGUAUUGCGAGUAAAAGAAGCCAUUGAAGAGCGAGAUGGUAUACCUCCUAGGCAGCAAAGAUUAAUUUUUCGUGGAAAUCAACUAAAUGAUGAGAAAACUUUAGAAGAAUAUAAUAUUAGCUCCGGCAUGUGUUUGCAUCUAAUAGUUGCUCUGCGCGGCGGUGAAUAACUAAUUAAAUAUACCCUGCGAAUACUUUCUUAAAUAAAUCUUUAAUUAGCUUUAA